rnacentral:rRNA from 1 species
AUUGAACGCUGGCGGCAGGCCUAACACAUGCAAGUCGAACGGAGCGGCGGACGGGUGCGUAAUGCCUAGGAAUCUGCCUGUUAGUGGUGGAUGACGUCAGGUAACCGGCGCUAAUGCCGCAUACUCUCAGAUUUGCCUAGGUCGGAUUAGCAAGUUGGUGGGGUAAAGGCCUACCAAGGCGACGAUCCGUAGCUGGUCUGAGAGGAUGAUCAGUCACACUGGAACUGAGACACGGUCCAGACUCCUACGGGAGGCAGCAGUGGGGAAUAUUGGACAAUGGGCGAAAGCCUGAUCCAGCCAUGCCGCGUGUGUGAAGAAGGUCUUCGGAUUGUAAAGCACUUUAAGUUGGGAGGCGUUACCAACAGAAUAAGCACCGGCUAACUUCGUGCCAGCAGCCGCGGUAAUUC